CCCUCCCCCAGUGGCCGGGCGGCCCCAGCCCCGGCCCCAGCCCCGGUCCACGCUGGUUGGUCCCCCGAUCGAGAGUGCCAGAAGAGACAUGAAAGAGGCAACAGAUGCCACUUCAGUAGCAGAGCAUCAUGGGAGCCCAGCCGGCUUGCUCCUGUUCCAGCGUUCAAACCCAAAGGGAAGGGAAACUUCAUGAAGACGAGGAUUUUUCCCUGUUCUGUUCUUUGCAGCAUCUCUAUUACCCCAGCAAGAAGAUCAAACUGCUGCUGCUGCUGCUAAGUCGCUUCAGUCGUGUCUGACUCUGUGCGACCCCAUAGAUGGCAGCCCACCAGGCUUCCCCAUCCCUGAGAUUCUCCUGGCAAGAACACUGGAGUGGGUU
rnacentral:lncRNA from 1 species